UCCUGCCUCCCUCCAGGUGUGUACCACUGGGAUGCUCCUGCCUCCCUCCAGGUGUGUACCACUGGGAUGCUCCUGCCUCCAGGUGUAUACUACCAGGAUACUCCUGCCUCCCUCCAGGUGUGUACCAAGAGGAUGCUCCUGCCUCCAGUCAGUCCUACAAGAUGUUGCAAUGAUGCUUGCUUUGUGGAAGACGUCGUAGAUCCUGAAGGUGAAGCACUGCUCUGAGCCACACGCCAGAAGCCAUUCACUCCUCACUCGCAAGCCCAUACUGGUGCCCCUGCUCUUCUUGUGUAUGCAGAAGAGAAACUGUAUGCCAGCCCAGCUCAGAAUCUGUCACCCCCAAAUAAACCCGACCUUAAGAACCUUCCUUCCCAUCUUCUACCUGCCUUCCCCUCCCCCUCACACUAAUCCACAUUCCGGUAAGAGAGGGGCCAGUCAGCCAGGGAUCCUAUGAGAGUUUGGGAGGGGUUGGACCUGAUGAUACCCAGUCCAAGGAAGCUGGAAGAAAUUCGUGUGCGGCCGUGCCCAGGAAUAAACAUUCAGUAGCCAUUUGGUCCACAGGCUAAACCAGUUGUUCACCAAAGUGUCCUCCAUGUGCCCUGGGUUUCAGUUGCCUGCCUACAACCAACCGUGACCCCACCUAGCUCUUACCUUCCUUGCGGUUGACUUUCUCUGAGCUCAGAGUAAAUAGCCUCAGCCCCUCCCAACAAUGGCAUGUCUCCGGUCCCCGCCUGGGCCUGCAAAGCUGGAGGAAACCUUUUCGGGCCACUUUACCAACGUCCUUCUUUAGCUCAGCGGUUGGAUGCACUCAUGUCGGCAAAGGCUACCCAUCUGACUUAGAGCUUUUAAUGUUGCAGAAGUCUCUCGUCUCCAGCAGCAGAAUCCUCCGGGGCCUUACAGACUCUCGAUCCCAGGAGCCAGAAGCCGCUUACAGGGUGCUUCCUGUGUAACUCCCUUAGUCAUUGUUUUGGCAUUUGCAGGCCCAAGUCCCCUGUUAUAAAGCAGAGUGGGCCCUCACAUCCUACCUGACAUUUUC
rnacentral:lncRNA from 1 species